UAGGGAAUUUUUCACAAUGAGCGAAAGCUUGAUGGAGCAAUGCCGCGUGAACGAUGAAGGUCUUUAAGAUUGUAAAGUUCUUUUAUUUGGGAAGAAUGACUUUAGCAGGUAAUGGCUAGAGUUUGACUGUACCAUUUUGAAUAAGUGACGACUAACUAUGUGCCAGCAGUCGCGGUAAUACAUAGGUCGCAAGCGUUAUCCGGAUUUAUUGGGCGUAAAGCAAGCGCAGGCGGAUUGAAAAGUCUGGUGUUAAAGGCAGCUGCUUAACAGUUGUAUGCAUUGGAAACUAUUAAUCUAGAGUGUGGUAGGGAGUUUUGGAGUUUCAUGUGGAGCGGUGAAAUGCGUAGAUAUAUGAAGGAACACCAGUGGCGAAGGCGAAAACUUAGGCCAUUACUGACGCUUAGGCUUGAAAGUGUGGGGAGCAAAUAGGAUUAGAUACCCUAGUAGUCCACACCGUAACGAUAGAUACUAGCUGUCGGGGCGAUCCCCUCGGUAGUGAAGUUAACACAUUAAGUAUCUCGCCUGGGUAGUACAUUCGCAAGAAUG
rnacentral:rRNA from 1 species